rnacentral:rRNA from 1 species
AGUCACUGACAUUAGAUACCCGCGUAGUCCAGGGUGUAAACGCUGCAGACUUGGUGUUGGGGCCCUUUGGGGGCAUUCAGUGCCGGAGAGAAGUUGUUAAGUCUGCUACUUGGGAGUACGUCCGCAAGGAUGAAACCUAAAGGAAUUGGCGGGGGAGCACCGCAACGGGAGGAGCGUGCGGUUUAAUUGGAUUCAACACCGUAAAACUCACCAGGGAAGACUGUUACAUGAAGGCCGAGAUGAAGACUCUGCUAGAUUUUCAG